rnacentral:rRNA from 2 species
UUAAGUUAACAAGGGCGCAUGGUGAAUGCCUUGGCACUAGGAGCCGAUGAAGGACGGGACUAACACCGAUAUGCUUCGGGGAGCUGUACGUAAGCUAUGAUCCGGAGAUUUCCGAAUGGGGCAACCCAGCAGUUUUAAUCAACUGUUACCACUAGAUGAAUUCAUAGUCUAGUUGGAGGUAAACGCUGUGAACUGAAACAUCUCAUUAGCAGCAGGAAUAUAAAGAAAUUUCGAUUCCCUAAGUAGCGGCGAGCGAACGGGGAACAGCCCAAACCAAAGUGCUUGCACUUUGGGGUUGUAGGACUGAACAUUUGAGUUACCAAAGAACUUGAUAGUCGAAGGAUUUGGGAAAAUCCGCCAUAGAUGGUGAUAGCCCAGUAGAUUAAAUCAAAUUCUCUCAGUUCAGGAUCCUGAGUACGGCGGAACACGUGAAAUUCCGUCGGAAUCCGGGAGGACCAUCUCCCAAGGCUAAAUACUACCUAGUGACCGAUAGUGAACCAGUACCGUGAGGGAAAGGUGAAAAGCACCCCGGGAGGGGAGUGAAAUAGUUCCUGAAACCAUGUGCCUACAAUAAGUCAGAGCGCGUUAAUGCGUGAUGGCGUGCCUUUUGUAGAAUGAACCGGCGAGUUAUGAUCCCGUGCAAGGUUAAGACUAAAAAGUCGGAGCCGUAGCGAAAGCGAGUCUGAAAUGGGCGUUUUGAGUACGAGGUUAUAGACCCGAAACCAGGUGACCUAUCCAUGUCCAGGUUGAAGGUGCGGUAAAACGCACUGGAGGACCGAACCCGUGUAAGUUGAAAAUUGCUGGGAUGAGGUGUGGAUAGCGGUGAAAUUCCAAACGAACUUGGAGAUAGCUGGUUCUCUCCGAAAUAGCUUUAGGGCUAGCCUCGGAAUUAGGAUCAUGGAGGUAGAGCACUAUUUGGACUAGGGGCCCGUCUUGGGUUACUGAAUUCAGAUAAACUCCGAAUGCCAUUGAUUCAUAUCCGGGAGUCAGACGAUGAGUGAUAAGAUCCACCGUCGAAAGGGGAACAGCCCAGACCAUCAGUUAAGGUCCCUAAAUGUAUGCUAAGUGGAAAAGGAUGUGGAGUUGCAUAGACAACUAGGAUGUUGGCUCAGAAGCAGCCACCAUUUAAAGAGUGCGUAAUAGCUCACUAGUCGAGUGAUCCUGCGCCGAAAAUGUACCGGGGCUAAGCAUACUACCGAAACCAUGGAUGCGACCAUUAGGUCGCGUGAUAGGAGAGCGUUCUAAGGGCGGUGAAGCAAGAUCGUGAGGACUUGUGGAGCGCUUAGAAGUGAGAAUGCCGGUAUGAGUAGCGAAAGAUAGGUGAGAAUCCUAUCCACCGAAUGACUAAGGUUUCCUGGGGAAGGCUCGUCCUCCCAGGGUUAGUCGGGACCUAAGUCGAGGCCGAGAGGCGUAGACGAUGGAUAACAGGUUGAGAUUCCUGUACUAGUUAAGUGCGUUUGAGCAAUGGAGGGACGCAGGAGGCUAAGAUGUGCAUUCUGUUGGAUUAGAAUGUCCAAGCAGUAAGUCUUGUGGAGAGUCAAAUGCUUUUCACUUUAAGGACAAGCUGUGAUGGGGAGCGAAAUUUAGUAGCGAAGCGUCUGAUGUCACACUGCCGAGAAAAGCUUCUAGUGAGUACUUAACUACCCGUACCGCAAACCGACACAGGUAGUCGAGGAGAGAAUCCUAAGGUGAGCGAGUGAACUCUCGUUAAGGAACUCGGCAAAAUGACCCCGUAACUUCGGGAGAAGGGGUGCUGAUCGCAAGAUCAGCCGCAGUGAAUAGGCCCAGGCGACUGUUUAUCAAAAACACAGGUCUCUGCAAAAUCGUAAGAUGACGUAUAGGGGCUGACGCCUGCCCGGUGCUGGAAGGUUAAAAGGAUGGGUUAGCUUCGGCGAAGCUCAGAAUUGAAGCCCCAGUAAACGGCGGCCGUAACUAUAACGGUCCUAAGGUAGCGAAAUUCCUUGUCGGGUAAGUUCCGACCCGCACGAAAGGCGUAACGAUCUGGGCACUGUCUCAACGAGAGACUCGGUGAAAUUAUAUUGUCCGUGAAGAUGCGGACUACCCGCGACAGGACGGAAAGACCCCAUGGAGCUUUACUGUAGCUUGAUAUUGAGUGUUUGUACAGCUUGUACAGGAUAGGUAGGAGCCAUAGAAACCGGAACGCUAGUUUCGGUGGAGGCGUUGGUGGGAUACUACCCUCGCUGUAUGACCACUCUAACCCGCACCACUAAUCGUGGUGGGAGACAGUGUCAGGUGGGCAGUUUGACUGGGGCGGUCGCCUCCUAAAAAGUAACGGAGGCGCCCAAAGGUUCCCUCAGAAUGGUUGGAAAUCAUUCGCAGAGUGUAAAGGCACAAGGGAGCUUGACUGCGAGACAGACAGGUCGAGCAGGGACGAAAGUCGGGCUUAGUGAUCCGGUGGUACCGUAUGGAAGGGCCAUCGCUCAACGGAUAAAAGCUACCCUGGGGAUAACAGGCUUAUCUCCCCCAAGAGUCCACAUCGACGGGGAGGUUUGGCACCUCGAUGUCGGCUCAUCGCAUCCUGGGGCUGUAGUCGGUCCCAAGGGUUGGGCUGUUCGCCCAUUAAAGCGGUACGCGAGCUGGGUUCAGAACGUCGUGAGACAGUUCGGUCCCUAUCCGUCGCGGGCGUAGGAAAUUUGAGAGGACCUGUCCUUAGUACGAGAGGACCGGGAUGGACAUACCUCUGGUGUACCAGUUGUGCCGCCAGGCGCAUCGCUGGGUAGCUACGUAUGGAUGUGAUAAACGCUGAAAGCAUCUAAGUGUGAAACACACCUCGAGAUGAGAUUUCCCAUUCCUUUAUGGAAGUAAGACCCCUGAAAGAUGAUCAGGUAGAUAGGUUAGAAGUGGCAGUGCGGUGACGCAUGAAGCGGACUAAUACUAAUCGGUCGAGGACUUAACCAAG